CCUACGGGAGGCAGCAGUGAGGAAUAUUGGUCAAUGGGCUUACGCCUGAACCAGCCAAGUCGCGUGAGGGAAGACUGCCCUAUGGGUUGUAAACCUCUUUUGUCAGGGAGCAACGCCGGCUACGUGUAGCCGGACUGAGAGUACCUGAAGAAAAAGCAGCGGCUAACUCCUUGCCAGCAGCCGCGGUAAUACGGAGGAUGCGAGCGUUAUCCGGAUUUAUUGGGUUGAAAGGGUGCGUAGUCGGAAUGCCAAGUCAGCGGUAAAAUCUCGGGGCGCCUCCUGGCUCCGCCGUUGAACCUUGCGUUCUUGAGUGGGCGAGACGUAUGCUGCAUGCGUGGUGUCGC
rnacentral:rRNA from 1 species